ACACAUGCAGUCGAACGGAAAGGCCCUGCUUGCAGGGUACUCGAGUGGCGAACGGGUGAGUAACACGUGGGUGAUCUGCCCUGCACUUCGGGAUAAGCCUGGGAAACUGGGUCUAAUACCGGAUAGGACCAUCGUUUAGUGUCGGUGGUGGAAAGUUUUUUCGGUGUGGGAUGAGCUCGCGGCCUAUCAGCUUGUUGGUGGGGUAAUGGCCUACCAAGGCGUCGACGGGUAGCCGGCCUGAGAGGGUGGACGGCCACAUUGGGACUGAGACACGGCCCAGACUCCUACGGGAGGCAGCAGUGGGGAAUAUUGCACAAUGGGCGCAAGCCUGAUGCAGCGACGCCGCGUGGGGGAUGACGGCCUUCGGGUUGUAAACCUCUUUCAGUUAGGAAGAAGCCUUUCGGGGUGACGGUACUAGCAGAAGAAGCGCCGGCUAACUAC
rnacentral:rRNA from 1 species